ensembl:lncRNA
UGCAAAUGGGAAACAAUCAGUGCCAGUGUGAUUUGAUCAUCAACCUCUUGUCAGAAUCACCGACUACAACUUUUAAUGCUUUACAUUAGCAAAAAUAAAUAUGUGUACUAAUUUGUAUUGCAAAAAGGCAAAUCUAUGGUAACCGUCUCUCUUUCUCUUUUUACCCACAACCUCUUCCCCAGGUUUCUUUCCUAUUGUAUGAACAUAAAGAUUAAAGGUGCAGUACAAGAACAAGUCAGCAAGCAUCUCUGAGAGAAUUGUGAGUAAAUAAACUAUUUCUAUGUUAGUCACAAUAGAUGUACAGGCAAGGUUUAGUUGGAGUACUGCCAAAGAGAAAGCCUUUUUUAUUCAUGUAAAUUGUAUUUGUUAUGUGUUACAUACAUCCUUGAAGGAAGGUACAUUAUCUCCAUCACCGUUCAGUUCACACAUCCACCCCACCCCUCUACUACACUCCUUUGUGUAGUCUCAGCAGGUUGAUUUAUGGCCAUGCCCACCUGAGGACCAUCAGAUGUGUAAACGGUGCUCAGAGACCUGCCCAUAACCCUUUGUCAUGCUAGUUUGCAUUCCAACAGCUCCUACAGCUGAUUGGCUAGGUUUGAAUUCAAGAAGGUAAUAGGUCAGACAGAAGAAGCAUUAUAUUAACACCACAAAGACAGAUUAAUGAACUCACAUUGUUAAGGCUGGCACUGGGAUGCUCUGGAUCUAUACAGUAUUUGUAAUUCAGCAGCAGUACAACUAUACUGUAGUUCUUUCUUUGCAGAUUUUCACCAUAUCGUUGCAUUAAAGGAUAGUUUGACCGAGUUUCUGUUUCCAAACAGAACUAAAGUCAGAAAUGUCUGGAUUUACCGAACCAUCACAACCGCUCAUGUCAGUGAAGAAGGAGAUAAAAGAAGAAGAAUUUGAUGAUUUCCUACAAGAGUAUUUGUCUGCAAUUCAGACAGUGGAAGAAAAGCCUGGAAUGGAAUGUGAAAUCAAGACUGAAAUGUACACGUCACCAACCAUGAAAGAAGAAAAGAAUUCACCAAUGGAAAUUACAGAUGAAGAAGAAUUUGAUUUAAGUGAAUAUGGUCACUAUGCCUCUUCUCCUACAGGUUUCUUUCCUCUUGUAUGAACAUAAAGAUUAAAGGUGCAGUACAAGAACAAGUCAGCAAGCAUCUCUGAGAGAAUUAACUAAAGUCAGAAAUGUCUGGAUUUACCGAACCAUCACAACCGCUCAUGUCAGUGAAGAAGGAGAUAAAAGAAGAAGAAUUUGAUGAUUUCCUACAAGAGUAUUUGUCUGCAAUUCAGACAGUGGAAGAAAAGCC